rnacentral:tRNA from 1 species
AGUAAAGUCAGCUAACUAAGCU